rnacentral:rRNA from 1 species
CAACUUUCAGCAGCGGAUCUCUUGGCUCUCGCAUCGAUGAAGAACGCAGCGAAAUGCGAUAAGUAAUGUGAAUUGCAGAAUUCAGUGAAUCAUCGAAUCUUUGAACGCACCUUGCGCUCCUUGGUAUUCCGAGGAGCAUGCCUGUUUGAGUGUCAUGG